AUUGAACGCUGGCGGCAUGCCUAACACAUGCAAGUCGAACGGCAGCAUGACCUAGCUUGCUAGGUUGAUGGCGGGUGGCGGACGGGUGAGUAACGCGUAGGAAUAUGCCUUGAAGAGGGGGAUAACUUGGGGAAACUCAAGCUAAUACCGCGUAAUAUCUGAGGAUGAAAGCUGGGGACCGUAAGGCCUGGCGCUUUAAGAAUAGCCGGCGUACGAUUAGCUAGUUGGUGGGGUAAGGGCCUACCAAGGCGACGAUCGUUAGCUGGUCUGAGAGGAUGAUCAGCCACACUGGGACUGAGACACGGCCCAGACUCCUACGGGAGGCAGCAGUGGGGAAUAUUGGACAAUGGGGGCAACCCAGAUCCAGCAAUGCCGCGUGUGUGAAGAAGGCCUGAGGGUUGUAAAGCACUUUCAGUGGGGAGGAGGGUUGACAGGUUAAGAGCUAGUUGACUGGACGUUACCCACAGAAGAAGCACCGGCUAACUCCGUGCCAGCCGCCGCCGUAA
rnacentral:rRNA from 1 species